rnacentral:rRNA from 1 species
UGGUGCCUUCGGGAACAUUGAGACAGGUGCUGCAUGGCUGUCGUCAGCCUCCGUGUUCGUGAGAUGUUGGGUUAAGUUCCCCGUAACGAGCGCAACCCUUGUCCUUAGUUACCAGCACGUAAUGGUGGGCACUCUAAGGAGACAGCCGGUGACAAACCGGAGGAAGGUGGGGAUGACGUCAAGUCAUCAUGGCCCUUACGGCCUGGGCUACACACGUGCUACAAUGGUCGGUACAGAGGGUUGCCAAGCCGCGAGGUGGAGCUAAUCCCCAGAAAAGCCGAUCGUCAGUCCGGAU